rnacentral:rRNA from 1 species
AUGAACGCUGGCGGCGUGCCUAAUACAUGCAAGUCGAGCGAACAGACGAGGAGCUUGCUCCUCUGACGUUAGCGGCGGACGGGUGAGUAACACGUGGAUAACCUACCUAUAAGACUGGGAUAACUUCGGGAAACCGGAGCUAAUACCGGAUAACAUGUUGAACCGCAUGGUUCAACAGUGAAAGACGGUCUUGCUGUCACUUAUAGAUGGAUCCGCGCCGCAUUAGCUAGUUGGUAAGGUAACGGCUUACCAAGGCAACGAUGCGUAGCCGACCUGAGAGGGUGAUCGGCCACACUGGAACUGAGACACGGUCCAGACUCCUACGGGAGGCAGCAGUGGGGAAUCUUCCGCAAUGGGCGAAAGCCUGACGGAGCAACGCCGCGUGAGUGAAGAAGGUCUUCGGAUCGUAAAACUCUGUUAUUAGGGAAGAACAAAUGUGUAAGUAACUAUGCACGUCUUGACGGUACCUAAUCAGAAAGCCACGGCUAACUACGUG